rnacentral:rRNA from 1 species
GCUCGACCUCAGAUCAGGCAGGAAUACCCGCUGAACUUAAGCAUAUCAAUAAGCGGAGGAAAAGAAACCAACAGGGAUUGCCCCAGUAGCGGCGAGUGAAGCGGCUAAAGCUCAGAUUUGGAAUCGCUUCGGCGAGUUGUGAAUUGCAGGUUGGCGCCUCUGCUGCGGCGGCGGUCCAAGUCCCUUGGAACAGGGCGCCAUUGAGGGUGAGAGCCCCGUGGGACCGUUUGCCACUCUGAGGCCCUUCUGACGAGUCGAGUUGUUGAAA